CAAAGCACUCCAAAAAGCUCUCAUUUCACUCCAAAAAAAAAAAAAAAAAAGCCAAAAGCCAAAGUCUGUUGUCUGUUCUGCAAGUCUCUCUCAUAUCUGCAGUCCCUCACCCCCAUUUCCCUCCUCACCUCAUCUCCCUAACCCUAACCCUAACCCUAGCUCUAACCCUAACCCUAUGCAUGUGUCUCUUCCUUCUCUCUCGUUACUCAGUAUAUUCCUCCAGAAACUGUAUCUUAGCUUGACGAUGAUAGCUUCACCAAAUCAAAAAAAAAAAAAAAAAAAAAAGCUGGGUGCAGUGGUUCACACCUGUAGCUCACACCUGUGGGCAG
rnacentral:lncRNA from 10 species